GUUUUUUUUUCUAUCACGAGAGGCACGGUUUUUCGUUCAUUUUUUUGUUAGUUUUUUUAAUGAAUACCUAUCAACAUGGCUUGUUGCGACAAGGAGUCGUGGCUUCGCACAUGAGGCGACUCGUCUGGGCCGAGCCAUUCGUUUUGGCUCCGGCUUUGAAAAAAAAUGAAAAAACACAAAAAGAAGAGCGCAAUAGCGAUUGGAAUCAAACCUGUGACUUGCUAUAGAUGUGGAUGAUGCGCUAGCCACUUCGACUAAUUAGCUAUCGUAAAAGAUUAGCUCUGCAAAACUUAAAGAAACUAGUGGCAACGGAAAAAAAGACAGUUCUCGAUAUUCCUUAUAACUUGUGGGCGAGGGAUCGAACACAAGUCCUCCCAGCAGGAAAGCACACCCAUACCCACUGUAGUACCUGAGAUUUCGUAUGUAAAAUGGCAGCCCGAUAUUUAUGACCUAUACUGUGCGGUAUAUAUUUUUUUAAUUUCAAACAUGAUUUUUUUUAAAUAACUACUUUUGAUACGCAAACAUUAGUUGGGAAACUAAAAAAUGGAAAACAAUAGAAAUAUAAAUUGAAUAUGAGAAUAUUUUUCAAAUUAUUAACUACUAUUUGUACAUGCAAAACAUUUUUUUGAAAAACAAUAGAAAAGUGGACAAUUUUCAAAAUUACAAACUCUUUUUACAAAAACUCAAGCAUAUUUUGCGUUUGCAAACAAAAUUUGAAAACAAUAACAUCUUUAAUAUGUUAACAAAUCUGGAAAACAAGGGCAUUUUUUCAAAAUCCCAAACACUUUGAAUUUGAACAUAAUUAAACAUGUGAACAUCUUUGAAUAUCUGAAUUUGUUUUGAAAAUGAACGUUUUUGGAAUUUGGGAACAAAUUUUGAAACGGGAACAUUUUUUGACUUUGUGGGCAAUUUUUCAAAAUAAGAACAUUUUCUAAAAUUCCCAAGCAAUUUUCAAUUUGUGAACAAAAUAAAAAAUGCAAACAUUUUACGAAUUUGUGAAUAAAUUUUGAAACAUGAACAUUUUUUAAUUUUGUGGACAAAUUUUGAAAGAUGAAACGUUUUAUGAAACAAAUAUUAUUUUUGUGAAAAGCAGGCAUUUUUUCUAAAAUUUAAACAUUAUUUUUGAAAAAAUGACGAACAUUUUAGAAUUCGAGAUUUUGUUUUUGAAAAAAGGAAAAAAAAUAACUUCUCAACAUUUUUAGAAACCCAGACAAAAUAAAAGAUUUUUUAAAAAGUGCAAACUUUUUAUAAAGAUCACAAACAUUUUAUGAAAUUAUCAACAAAAUUGAAAAAAGAACAUUUUUGAACAUCUGAGCAAUUUUUGAAACCGAGAACAAAAGUUGGAAAAGGCAAACUUUUUGCAACUAGGCAAACAUUUUUUGAAAAUCGUGAAUUUUUUUAAAUUUGUAAACAAUUUUUUUGAAUAGAUGCAUAUUGCAAGCAUUUUUUAAUAAGUGCAUAUUUUGAAAUUUUGCGCAAUUAUUGAAAUUCGGGAACGAAAUUUGAAAACAAGACAUUUGUGUAAUAGUUUUGAAAAAAUAUGAGAAACGCAAAACAUUUCUGAAAAAUUUAAAUAUUUCUAAAAAACACGAACAUCUUAAAUAGAGAAAACAAACUGAAAAUAAAAAAACAAAUAAGAUGGAGAUAGAAAGAAACAGAAAAAAUAUAUAUUGUCUCCCCCAAACCUUUUCGGUUUGAGAAAUGGUGGUCUAAAAAAAGGAAUAGUUUUGAAAAAGAUGCAUGAUGUCAUGCAUAAUUUGUCUUAUCCUGUUCUCCUUGGUGGAGAUUUUAAUUUGGUUAGAUCUGUAUCUGACAAGAACAAUAGGUUGAUUAAUAACCAAUCCACUUUGUUGUUUAAUGACUGGAUUAAUAAAUGGGGUCUCAUGGAGAUUAAUAUUGCUAAUAGGAGUUAUACGUGGAGUAAUAACCAAGUAGACCCUGUUUUUCGAUGAUUGAUCGUGUGUUUGUCUCCACGUCUUGGGAUGCUCACUUUCCUUUGACUGACCUAUCCGCGUUCCCUCGAGUUGGUAGUGAUCACACUCCGCUCCUUUUAGAUACUAAAGCUCGAAGGGUUACCUGCCCCAAACCUUUUCGGUUUGAGAAAUGGCGGCUUGACCAACCUGAUUUUAAAGAGCUAGUUCGCAAAACCUGGACUAGAACAACAUGUUUGGGUAAGGCUAUUGAUAACUAGAUUAAUAAGACUAGGAUAUUACGGAAAAAGAUUAAAGGUUGGAGUAUCAAUUUAGAGGCGGCUAUGAAAAAGAAGAAAAAAGUUCUUUUACAAGAAUUUGACAUCCUUGAUGUGUUUUCUGAAACCAAUCGUUUAGACGCCAAUGAUAAGAUUCGUAUGGAGGAGAUUAAGAAAGAAUUAGAGGAAAUCUAUAGGAAAGAGUUGUGGCAGCGAUCCAGAGAUAGGAGGAUCAAAGAUGGUGACAAGAACAAUAAAUACUUCCACGCGUUAGCUAACCAUCGUCAUAGGAAGAACCACUUAUAUGAAUUGAAUGGUGACGAUGGUCCAGUUCACUCCACCAAAGAGAUGCUGGAAAUUUCCACUUCUUUCUAUAGAAACCUCUUUGGUUAUGAACAUAAGCAUAAUAUUAGCUUGGGUCCUUCCUUUUGGAAGGAAGAAGAGAUGGUUACUCCUGAGGAAAAUGAGACUUACAAAAGAAUUUCUCUGAGGAUGAAAUUAAAGAGGCCAUAUUUAGACCCUAUGCACAUGGUGCUACAGGCCUUGAUGUCCUUUCUUUUAUGUUCUAUCAAUCCUUCUGGGAGUUGAUUAAAGCUGACUUUAUGGCCUUACUGAAAGACUUUGAAGAAGGUAAGCUCGACAUCUAUAAGUUGAACUUUUCCAUAAUUGUUCUAAUUCCUAGAGAAGUUGAUGCCAAGGAUAUGAAGAAAUUCAGAACUAUUAGCCUUGGAAAUUGUGUAGUUAAGAUUCUGACUAUAGCAGACUGUCCCCUAUUGGGGAUAGUCUGAUUUCUCCCAUUCAAACUGCUUUCAUCAAAGGGAGAUUUAUUCUUGAGAGUGUGGUGUUGGCUCACGAAGUGAUUCACGAAGUCAAACAGUCCAAAACCCAGGGGCUUGUGCUCAAAUUAGACUACGAGAAAGCUUAUGAUAGAGUCAGCUGGGAGUUUCUCUUUGAGAUGCUAGAGUCUAGGGGAUUUGGGGCCAAAUGGAUCUCCUAGAUCAAAAGUGUUGUGCUAAAGGGUACGUUUAGUAUCCGUACUAAUGAUGUGACUGGCCCUUUAUUUGUUGGUGGCAAAGGCCUUAAGCAAGGGGACCCGAUCUCUCCCAUUCUUUUUAAUCUUGUUGCAGAUGUUUUUUUUCUUCUAAAAUGCUAAUUAAAGCUUCUCAACAGAAUCUCAUUUCGGGGCUUCUGCCUCAUGUAAUAAAGGGAGGGAUCACCAGAUUGCAAUAUGCUGAUGAAACUCUGCUUUUCCUAGAAAACUCUUGUGAAAAAGCAAGAAACUUUAAAUGGAUCCUAUCUUGCUUUGAAAACCUGUGUGGGAUGAAAAAUCAAUUUUCAUAAGAGUGAACUUUUGACUAUUAACAUUGAGAAUGAAAUGACUAAAUCUUUUGCCCAAAUUUUUAGUUGUAAGGUUGGGACUUUCCCUUAAAUACUUGGGUGUGACUUUGCACUAUGAAAAACUGCGUAGGGAAGACCUUCAACCAAUAACUGACAGGAUCAUCAGAUGUAUUUCUGGUUGGUUAGGUAGACAUCUUACUUAUAAAGGGAAACUGAUACUUCUUUUUGCGUGCAUCGUCACUAUUCCUGCUUAUCUUGUGGCGGUAAUCAAGUUCCCCAAAUGGGCUAUUGAGGCUAUUAAUGCGCAAAUGGAUCAUUUUUCUGGGGGAAUAUGGGAGACCAACACAAAUAUCACCUGGCUGAUUGGGGGCUGAUUACCAGGAAGAAAUCCUUUGGGGGUCUAGGAAUACCUAACCUAAAAGAGUUUAAUAUGGCCUUAUUGGCCUCCUAGGGGAAGAGAUUUUUUGAUAAUAAAAAAAAGACUGGAAAGAUGUUAUUUCUUUCAAGUAUAACACUGGAUCUCCCAAUGUACUUUGGUCUAAAUAUGAUAAUGGAUCUUCUUUUUGGAAGAGUGUAACAUGGGCUCUAAAUGCCUCCAAGACUUUCUACACGUGGAAAAUUGGUAAUGGUAGGAAUGUCAAGUUUUGGGAUGAUUUAUGGGUUGGGGAUUGUUCCCUGAAGGUGGAAUUCUCGAAGUUAUUCUACAUAUGCAACCAACCUGACUGCACUGUCUCUCAGGUUUGGGAUGGUGUAGAUCUUAAGCUCUCUUUAGAAGGUGUGUAGAUAGUAGUGGGUUUGAUAAAUGGAACCAAUUACUUGAUAUUAUUCAGGGAGUUCCAUUACCUGAUGCCCCUGAUGCUCCCAUAUGGAUAUUGGAAUCCAAUGGAGUGUACUCUGUUAAAUCCUUUUAUAGUACUAUUAACUUCGGUGGGGUGGCUUGUGCCAUAGGUGACAAGUUAUGGAAAAUUCUUUGUCCAUAAAAUAUCCAUGUAUUUCUUUGGCUAAGUGUUUAUAAUAAAGUCUUAACCAGAGAUAACUUAGCUAAGCGAAGGAAUGUUGAUGAUCCUUCUUGCUUAUUUUGUAAUGAAUUGGAAUCUGUACAACAUUUGUUUUUUGAUUGCAUAGUGGCUAAAUGCAUAUGGAAACUUUUUGCUAAGUCCUUUCAGAUGCCAAUUAUGUCCUGCUUUAAAGAUAUUUGUGCCUUGUGGCCGAUUCAUAAGAAAGUAUCAGUCCAGAAUAUGAUUGUUGUUGCCUCUCCCUGUGGAGUAUUUGGAGGCUAAGAAAUAAAUUUUGUUUCCAGGGCCGAUUUUGGAAAAGUCUGGAUUGCGUGCUUGUGAAACUUCGAAGUUUUUUUCGGCAAUGGGCUGUACUCUGCGACGCCACACAGGAGGGAGUGUUGCGACAAUUCAUCACUAACCUUGACAAAUACCGAGGGGAGCUUCUCACAUCGCUUGGAGGAACCUUGAGUUUCAUUUACCUGUUUGCUUGUAGUUUGCUGUGAUUUUUUCUAUGGUUGGAAUGCCGUAAACUUUUGGUUCUCUCAUGUAAUUUGUGUGUCGUGCUAGAAGAUGUGUCUGUACCUGGCUUGACUUUGCUUCAUUAAUAAAGUGGAGCAGGGGAAACACCUAUUAUUUAAAAAAAAGAAAAAAAUAGAAAAAAAAAGUAGAAGAAUAAAAAAAAUGAAAAAUGGUUCAGGAACCUCCUAAAAGAUUUCUGAAACCGAAAAAACCUGGCCGGGAACACCAAGAAGUUUCCUAAAAUCGAAAUCGCUGAAACGUCUUAACGGGCUGGCCCAUCCGAAUGCUCGUCGAUUUUUUCCUGUGUGUCGCAGCUACAACUUGCCGCAAUUAGCGGCAAAUAGGAAUUUUCUGCCUCCAGUCGUCGAGUCAAAACAUUGAUUUUGGUCCGAGCGCACAGGUUCAAGCGGCGGUUGCGUCGUCACCGCAGAAGCUGCCAAAAUCUUCCAUCUGCGUGUGGCCAUCCAACUGCGCAACGAGCCAUUUGCAGUUGCAGGCGAUGACAAUAUUCUCACCUUGAUCUUCAAGUCCCCCUUAUCUAAGUUAUCUUGCGUCGCAGUGAGCGAGCGGUGCGAGCUGGUAUCAGCUUAGAGCGUUCUCUCCUACUCCUAUAUUGCACCUUCUUUUGUUCUCAGAAGCGGUCCUAGGUUUCGUCUGACGCACCACUUCAAAAAGUUUACAGGAUUAGUUCAUCUCAUGGCAUUGACAAAUGACAACCCUGGGGUUUUCAUUUCCGUCCUCACUUUCAGUAGAAAGUGACGUCAAGCCAGCCCUAUCUGAAUGGAAUAGUUUCCAAGAAGAAGUUUCAGUGCAAGAAUUCAGAUAGAACUGAAGAGAUCGUUGCGGCCAGUGAGAUCUAGAUGACUCAGCAGAUGUUCAUGGAUCUCCAAUAAACUAGUUAUCUAACUAAGGUUCCUGAAUUUGUAGAGUGCAGACAUUCAGGCGAAUUAUACACAAGGGCAAAAAUUCAGAAGGAGGUGACUUUCUGCAGGUAUAUAGGUCCUUCUGGAGACUGGAGAGUUUACAGAGGUGUACUCGAGUCUGAGAUUCUGCCAGGGGAAAGAGCCUAUUAGUAGACAAACAAAGAUAGAUAGGCAUGAACCGCAAAGCAAUACCUACCGGCCUGAUGCGGCUUAAGAUGCAGUCACAAUUAUCUAACUGAUAAAUAGAAAAUCAAACAGUUGAAUGAUGGUCUUCUUCAGACUGCCUGGUAGAAUUUUCAGAUCUGCCAACAAGUGUAGAAUCUUUGGUCUAGUCUUGAACUAUUUUGUAGCCAUGUUUCUGGUUAGUGCUUUCCUACAGGAACUUGCACUAAGACGUGCAUCCUCCUGGAGUCACUACACAACCACUUGAUCACCAGAAAAAUAUCACUGAACUUUUCUGUUAUUUAAUUGCACCCUGGCUGUGCUAACAGAUAGUCAAUCUUCUGGGAUUUUAUGUUACGAUCAUAUAAAAGAAUCUGAAAGAAAAAUAAAAAAAGAAAAAGAAAAAGAAAAAAGAAACAGAGGAGAGAAGUAGAGAAGGGAACAGGACAAGUGAAAGCAACAUAACAAGUUUGAUGAUAUCUAUUCCCCCAGAUGUAUCAGUUCAGGCCACAGAUGGAGAUGGACAGCCUAAUACUAUACCGAUAAAAAACAUGGCUUACAGUUUCGACGAGUCCUACAAUUCAGUAGUACAGUAGAAAUUAUUUCUGAACCGGAGAAAACCAGGAGCCAUUGCCUGGCCUGCUCCCUCCCAUGAACAAAGAAGCUUUCUCCCAGCAAACCAGCGAUCCGCGGGGACUCCUCAGCCUCUGCCUCAGCAGCAUGGGUAGAUGGUGACAGAUCGCCGCUUCGGUGGGGUGCAGAGGAGCAUGAACACCAACGCGAUGACGGCCGCGACGAGGAGCCCCAGGAAGCUGAAGCCCGCCUCCUCCUCCGACUCGCUGCUGCAGCACAUCUUCCCCAUGCUGCCCGGUGCUUAGCUAGCUAUGCUGGAGAUCAAUGGUGGUCAGACCAAGAGAGGCUCGCUUCCUAGCAGUGGCGUGUUUCUUUCUUUCUUUCUUAUACCACGGCCAUGAUCUUGGCUUUAAGGCGCCGUGGUGUGGCCAGUUUGUUGGGGCGUCGCUAUCAGGUCUUCACUCAUGCCACCCUCCUGUGCUCUCCUUCCAUCUCUGAAGACAGCUCAGCCUAUGCUCGCACCCACCAAGGCCACUAACACCGGCCUGGGAUGGAACCGUUAGGCUGAUCGAUGAUCAACUGCCCAGAUGUUGAGAUAUAUAUCUG
rnacentral:lncRNA from 1 species